UGUGUGUGUGUGUGUGUGUGUGUUAAAAAUACCUUUGUGGCUGUGGUGGAGUUGAAGGAGUAAAGCCUUUAGGGGUUUUAAUCUAAAAAAAAAAUAACUGUCUGAGGGCAGACAGAGUUCACUGGCCUGCUUUCACUGUUGGCAGGCUGACUACCUGGCUGUCUGACUGACUUGUUGUCCGGCAGGUUGACUAGCUGGCUGGCUGAUUAGGUGACUAACUAGCAGGCUAACUAGCAGGCUGACUAGCUAGGUGGCUGGCUGGAUGACUAGCUGGCUGGCUUAUACUAGAUCACUUUCUGGCUGGCUGAAUAGCAGGCUGACUGGCUUGCUGACUAGCUGGCUGGUUGACUCGCGGGCUAACUAGCUGGCUGACUGUCUGGCUGUCUGACUAGCGGGCUAACUGGCUGGCUGACUGACUGGCUGUCUUACUAGCUGGCUUACAGCUGGCUGAUUAGUUGGCUGGCUGACUGGUUGACUCCCCGGUGAGGGGCUUGGCAUGGGGCACUGCAGGGCCAGGGUCUCCCAGGGGCAUGGGACUCCGGUUAAAGGGGGCUAGUGCCCCCAGAGGAUGGUUCUACACCCCUUUACCCUCUCAACCCCCACCCUCCCACUGUGGCCCUCCUUCUGGCUCUCAGGCCGCCAUUUUGAGAGCACUACUGUUGGCAGUGUCUUGGUGGUUUAGCUUAAUUGUUUGUGUGUUUGUGUGUGUAUGUGUGUGUCUCCAUGUGCUUUUAUACAUAUGUGUGUGUCUGGUUUGGGCACAACUCGCGUGACACAUUUGAGACAAAUCAGGCAGUGUCGGCCACAGCCCAGAGACAGACAUGUGUUCGGACGGCCAUAAUGGUCACUUUUAGAACAAGAUGGCAGGGGCACGUCUUCCCAUUAGGGAGUAUACAGACGAGCCGCCCGGCGUACCAUAGCACCCGUGUUCCUCAUCACAGAUCGGCGAUUGUCAUGGAGAGGAAUGUCACGGUGUGUGUGGUUGGUUAAAUUCCCCCCUGAAACUGUUAAUUCAGGGUGACAUGCCUAUCUCUUUCUCUCUCUCGCUCUCUCUCUCUCUCUCUCACACACACUCUCUCUCUCUUCCUUAUUUUUUUUACUUGUAUAAAAGAAAGCGAAGAUAUUUGGACUCAAGAGAGCAGAUUGGGGAGCACGCAUAAUGAGAAAGCCCGUUCGACAUCAGAACAAUGUCUCGUCCGUGUUACCGACCAAAAAACGAAAACGAAAUAGACAGCCAUGACAUGAAACGCUGCAACCGCCCUACGCAAAACAGUCACGACAAAGGAGGGAGUGAGAGACAUGUAGGGUGUAAGAGAGGGUGGAGGGAGGGAGUGAGAGAUGGAGGGAGGGAUUGAGGGAGUGAGAUAGAGGUGGAGAUGGAGGGAGUGAGAGAUAUAGGAGGGAGUGAGAGAGAAGUGGAUGGAGUGAGAGAGAUGGAGAGAGUGAAAGAGAGGUUGAGGGAGUGAGAGAGAGAUGGAGAGAGUGAGAGAGAGGUUGAGGGAGUGAGAGAGAGAUGGAGAGAGUGAGAGAGAGAUGGAGGGAGUGAGAGAGAGAUGGAGAGAGUGAGAGAGAGGUGGAGGGAGUGAGAGAUAGAAUAGUGAUGCUCUUGGUUUCUUGAGGGAAUGUUCCUUGUGUUUAAGAUAAACCUCCUAUUUCUCUUCCUCAUCUCUUCUCUGUAGUUCCCAAUGGUCACACACAAAAUAACAUGGAUGUCAAGUCAACAUUAAAAACUAAUUCGGCGACAUACAUCUCAGACCCCCCAAAAGAAGCAGGGCACCCUGGCAAAAUCUGCUGUAGCACACAGUAAAACAGUUUGAAAAUGCAUGACUUGGCAGUUAUUAUUUGUCUUCAACAUGUCGAGAAUAUAUUGUACUUGUGUGGUAAGUGCAUGUCGACUUAAAACUGAACCAUGAUUGGAAACUUUGAACCGUGAAAGGUAAGCCUGGCCGUUUUGUCCGCAGAAAACGAGGCAUGAUGGUGACAGACUAAUUGGCUUUCUGUUCAGGGCAGCUGUACGUCGCCCCCUACCCUGUGCCCAGUCACCCUGCCCUCUCUACCGCCUGCCCCAGAACCCACCUCCCCGCCCGUUCAAGGGCUGGUGAUUUUCCAGCACACUUGGAAGCCUUGUGCUCGGCACAAAGCCCACGAGCAACAAGGCUAAGUCAGGCUGCGAGCCGGGGGACCACCUGUUUUUCACAGCUGGUUUCGUGGCUAAGUCACCUCAAACACAAAUAUACCAGUGUUUAUCACCACAGUGGCCCUUUCAUGCACGGCAGACUGGCCUAGCUGAUUCAAUUACGGGAAAAAUGGUCGAACAAGCCAGGAGGAGGGGAAAACAGGGUGAGUUCUGUCGUUUAGGCAGGCAGGAUGCAGUGUACUAAAACUGCCAGAGGGGGGCGCCAGAAGCGCCGGUGACUUUCAACAUUGAUCUAAAAAUAAAAGAAGUUAACAGAUGAUAAUUGGUCGUCGCCAGGUGACAACACCCGUCUGUGUCUGGCCUCCCAUGGCUCUGUUGCCUUAGGUUGAGGCACUAGUGUCCUCUUCACCCAGGGAUGCAGAUUGUCAAAAGCGUCCUCCACCAGUGUGACACUGGAAGAGCUGUUAAGGUUAGCAGCAAAUUGUGAGGUUUCAACACUAUAGCCUGGUUCUACGCUAUCAAGUGCCUUGUUAGGUUUUGUUUGUAGUUGUACAGGUGACGCUACUACUAUUGUCUGAGGAUGAGAACUGCCACCUGUUGGAUCAAGACCUCGUCCGUCUGAAUCCUCUUAUUUUUCGCUCGCUGUUGCUAAGCGAGUUUGUCAGAAUCGUUAUUAGCCGUUGCGGCGGUGAAACACGUCAAAGCCUGGUAAGGAGCGGCGCUCGACCGGACCCAGCAGCGAGUGCGUCGCUGUCUGUCGUGGUUUAUCUCUCCCACUGCCAGGCCGGGGCGAGCACUGUCCACCAGCAGUCACAUAAAUACUCAUAAUAAUAAUAAUAACCAUAACAAUAACAUCAACCGGGACCUUAAGGAGAGACCCCAGCGCAAGGGGACCCCCACACAUCGCACGGAGACCCCCACACUGCGCACAGACCGGGUCUACACAACCUGCCCGUAGGAAUGGAAAACGGUUCGACAAACAAAAAAACAACAGAAAAACACACAGCCGUUGGCACGGCGACCGUUUUCUCCCUCCGAUGCGCACGCCUAGCCUAGCGUAGUCCGGGCGGGUCUCGUCCACUGGACCCCCGCAGUGAGGGGGCCACCGGGGGGGGGGGCAGUCCCAGUCCGACGAUUGGUCUUCGUCGCGAUUGUUUUGUUUGUAAAGUUCGACUUGUGUCGUGUCAGGCCUCUUCUGAGCGCGUCGUUGGAGGUACGGCCGCAGGUUUGAUUGUGCGAGGCGACUUUUACCACCCGUAACCCCCCCC
ensembl:lncRNA